CAUGCAAGUCGAGCGAACAGACGAGGAGCUUGCUCCUUUGACGUUAGCGGCGGACGGGUGAGUAACACGUAGGUAACCUACCUAUAAGACUGGGAUAACUUCGGGAAACCGGAGCUAAUACCGGAUAAUAUUUCGAACCGCAUGGUUCGAUAGUGAAAGAUGGCUUUGCUAUCACUUAUAGAUGGACCUGCGCCGUAUUAGCUAGUUGGUAAGGUAACGGCUUACCAAGGCAACGAUACGUAGCCGACCUGAGAGGGUGAUCGGCCACACUGGAACUGAGACACGGUCCAGACUCCUACGGGAGGCAGCAGUAGGGAAUCUUCCGCAAUGGGCGMAAGCCUGACGGAGCAACGCCGCGUGAGUGAUGAAGGUCUUCGGAUCGUAAAACUCUGUUAUUAGGGAAGAACAAACGUGUAAGUAACUGUGCACGUCUUGACGGUACCUAAUCAGAAAGCCACGGCUAA
rnacentral:rRNA from 1 species